AAGUCGUAACAAGGUUUCCGUAGGUGAACCUGCGGAAGGAUCAUUAUCGUGGAGCUGCGGCUCCUCUGAGGGAGAACCCUUGCCUUUUCGAGCACCUGUUUGUUUCCUCGGCAGGCCCGCCUGCCAACGGGGACCCCCCAAAACCUUUGCAAUAACCUGUACUGAUAAUUGUCUGAAUGAAAAAUCUAAAUCAAAACUUUCAACAAUGGAUCUCUUGGUUCUG
rnacentral:misc_RNA from 1 species